rnacentral:rRNA from 1 species
AGCAGCCGCGGUAAUUCCAGCUCCAAUAGCGUAUAUUAAAGUUGUUGCAGUUAAAAAGCUCGUAGUUGAAUUUCGGGAUCAGUAUGUUGGUCGUGCUUCGGUACGUACUGUCAUUACUGGUUUCUACCUUCUGAAGAACCUUGAUGUCAUUAAUUUGGUGUCUUGGGGAAUCAGGACUGUUACUUUGAAAAAAUUGAGUGUUUAAAGCAAGCAUACGCUUGAAUACAUUAGCAUGGAAUAAUGAAAUAGGACGUUUGAUUCUAUUUUGUUGGUUUCUAGGAUCGACGUAAUGAUUAAUAGGGAUAGUUGGGGGCAUUAGUAUUCAAUUGUCAGAGGUGAAAUUCUUGGAUUUAUUGAAGACUAACUACUGCGAAAGCAUUUGCCAAGGAUGUUUUCAUUAAUCAAGAACGAAAGUUAGGGGAUCGAAGACGAUCAGAUACCGUCGUAGUC